GGGUCAGUAGGUUGGUCGUGCCACCGGUACGUACUGGUCUCACUGAUUCCUCCUUCCUGAAGAACCGUAAUGCCAUUAAUUUGGUGUUGCGGGGAAACAGGACUGUUACUUUGAAAAAAUUAGAGUGUUUAAAGCAAGCUAACGCUUGAAUACAUUAGCAUGGAAUAAUGAAAUAGGACGAUCGAUCCUAUUUUGUUGGUUUCUAGGAUUGACGUAAUGAUUAAUAGGGAUAGGUUGGG
rnacentral:rRNA from 1 species